UACGGAGGGAGCUAGCGUUGUUCGGAAUUACUGGGCGUAAAGCGCACGUAGGCGGUUAUUCAAGUCAGAGGUGAAAGCCCGGGGCUCAACCCCGGAACUGCCUUUGAAACUAGAUGACUAGAAUCUUGGAGAGGUCAGUGGAAUUCCGAGUGUAGAGGUGAAAUUCGUAGAUAUUCGGAAGAACACCAGUGGCGAAGGCGACUGACUGGACAAGUAUUGACGCUGAGGUGCGAAAGCGUGGGGAGCAAACAGG
rnacentral:rRNA from 1 species